CUAGAGGGAACGAACUCGAGGCACGUCUGCUGGAGCAAGAUGGCACCAUUAAUGAUCUCAAGAGUAUGGUGGCGCAGUUGAUGGCAAAUAUGAAUAAGGGUCAUAAUUGAUACUUUUUAUGAAGUUUGAAUUUAUGUUGUGUUGAUUUUGGAUUUAUGUAGUAACUAUGGAGUUAGAACUUAUGAUAUUUGAUAUUUAGCUUAAUUUAGGUAUGUUGAAUUUGGAUGUUUAGUAAGUAUGUUUGACUUUGGAUGUUUAGUAAGUAUGUUUGAAUUUGGAUGUCUAGUAAAUAUGUUUGAAUUUGGAUGUUCAUUAUAAGUAUAUUUGAAUUUGACUAUUUUAUAUUGAUUUUUACAGGAUAUUCAAUAUUGAGAAAUAUAUAUAUAUACAAACUGAAUAAUUGUCGACGGAAUCCACUUUAAGAGGGAAAACAAAUUCUCGACGGAUUCUCGACGGAAAGCAAAACUUGUCGAAUUCUCGACGGAUUCUCGACGGAAUCCACUUUAAGAGGGAAAACAAAUUCUCGACGGAAUAUUCCGUCGAGAAAUUCUCGACGGGAAAUUCCGUCGAGAAUUAAUUUCCCUACGAUUAAAUUAAUGACUCCGGAUUUCCGUCGAGAAUCCGUCGAGAACAAAAAUAACGACGGGUUUUUGAUAUUUGUCGACGGGAUUUUCCGUCGAGAAUUGCGAAUUUUUUUGUAGUGAUUGUCCAUGCAACGGUAGUAGUUAUAUCAAUGUUUUAAAAUAUUUUUAAAAAAUUUCAUCGUUGGCGCUUCAUUAAUAAAGAACAUAUUUAUAUUAUUUAACUUAAUUGGUUGUCGUUAACGCGAUGUUGAAUAUUGAUUUUAUCUAUAUUUUUUAUAUUAAUAUAUAUAUUGUAAUCAUAAAGACAGCGUUAAAUGUCAGAGUAUAUAUUUAUUUAUCNCGAGGGUGGAUGUAUAGGCGUGUUGCGAAUGGAUCUCUAACUACGGAAUUCAUAGAGGGUGUCGAAGUUUUUGUGCUUUUUGCUAGUUCUCAACCAAUGCACAUGAAUGGGGAAAAAAUUAAGUGUCCGUGCACUAAAUGCAAAAAUCGAAAAUAUGAUUAUCCGAUGACUGUGAGACUUCAUCUCGUAAGACAUGGUUUUGUUCCUAAUUAUCAUAAUUGGGUGUAUCACGGGGAAGCAAUCCAUUCUACACAUGAGGUAGAAAUCAAUACGCCUGAAACUGUAGCGAAUCGGUAUGAGUCGAUGAUAAUGGAUGCGGCUAAUGUUCAGAUCAACACUGCGUCAUUAAUAGUGGAAGAACCUCCAAAUGCUGCAGCCCAACACUUAUAUGAUAUGUUAAAAGCUGCAGAGAGAGAGUUGUGGCCCGGUUGUAGAACUCACACACAACUUUCAUUAGUAGCGCGAUUGAUGAGUUUGAAAUCAGAAAACAACAUGUCAGAGCGUUGUUUUGAUCAAAUCUGUGAGUUAAUGAAGGAGCUUGUUCCUGGAGAUAAUUUGAAGUUAUCCGCACUGCAUGGAUCAAGAUGGCUAGAAUUGCUUACAAGGACUUUGUGAGUGCGACAAAGAAGCUCGUCUUAAUUGAAAAGAAGACGCCAGCAUAUCUGAAGGAACAUGUUGAAACGGCUUGGAAAGCCUAUUGGGAUCUACCUGAAGUGAAGCGCAUAUCCGAGCAGGCGAGCAAGAACCGGCGCUCUGAACCUUGUGGUCCCGGUACAGGAAUCGCCAUACAUCAUGGCGGCUCGCGUAGUGCCCUUGACCACGCCGAGCAUCUGGUGAGUUAAAUAAUUUAUUUCAUUGUAAUAAUUAAAUAUUUUUUAUAUUAUAUAUUGUUAACAUCUUAUGUUUUUAUAUAGGCUACGGGAAAAGAAUAUCCCCGGUUGACUGUGCUGCGUAUGAUACAUUUCUACGCAUACACCGGAAGGGAGGAUUAUACACGGGCAUACGUUCCGAGGCACACGCGGUAAGUGUAUUACUUUAAUAUGUGUUAAAGUUUCAUUAUUCCAUUUUUACUUGAAUAUAUAGUUUUAAUUCGAUUCAACUAAACUAAUUGUAGGUGGAGAUUGAGAGUCGCAUUCAAGAUAUUCAAGCCACUCAAGGUAGGGAUCCGACACCAGAAGAGGUACACGCCAUCUUUAAGGAGGUGGUGAAGAGGGACACGAAAGGCCGUGUGCUCGGGAUGGGAAUGAUGACACAGAUGGUGUCUACUGGAUCUAGUACUCAGUCCACUAGCACGUCUCAGACUGCCCCUGCUGCUUCUCUUGAGGAGGUCGAGGCGCUAAGAGCUGAAGUGAAUGCUCAGACUACUAGAGCGAACGACUUCGAGGCACGUCUGCUGGAGCAAGAUGGCACCAUUAAUGAUCUCAAGAAUAUGAUGGCGGAGUUUAUGUCAAAUAUGAAGAAGGGUCAUAAUUGAUACUUUUUAUGAAGUUUGAAUUUAUGUUGUGUUGAGUUUGGAUUUAUGUAGUAACUAUGGAGUUAGAACUUAUGAUACUUGAUAUUUAGCUUAAUUUAGGUAUAUUGAAUUUGGAUGUUUAGUAAGUAUGUUUGACGUUGGAUGUUUAGUAAGUAUGUUUGA
rnacentral:lncRNA from 1 species